AUUGAACGCUGGCGGCAGGCCUAACACAUGCAAGUCGAACGAGUGGCGGACGGGUGAGUAAUGUCUGGGAAACUGCCUGAUGGAGGGGGAUAACUACUGGAAACGGUAGCUAAUACCGCAUACCAUCGGAUGUGCCCAGAUGGGAUUAGCGAGUAGGUGGGGUAAAGGCUCACCUAGGCGACGAUCCCUAGCGGGUCUGGGAGGAUGACCGGCCACACUGGAACUGAGACACGGUCCGAACUCCUACGGGGGGCAGCAGAGGGGAAUAUUGCACAGUGGGCGCAAGCCUGAUGCGGCCAUGCCGCGUGUAUGAGGAAGGCCUUCGGGUUGUAAGGUACUUUCAGCGGGGAGGCGUUACCCGCAGAAGAAGCCCCGGCUAACUCCGUGCCAGCAGCCGCGGUAAUAC
rnacentral:rRNA from 1 species